AGCGGCGCGUGUUUGUCUCCUACGUGUUAGCAAUAAAGUUUCAGAAAAAGUGGGCGGGGCUACGUCGGUGCGUCUUUAUAUAGCGCGUAUGCAGCGUUACUUCUCUCUCUUCCAGUUUGGUCAGGGGACAAGAUGUCUCACAGAAAGUUCUCAGCCCCCCGACACGGCUCUCUGGGGUUCCUCCCUCGCAAGCGCAGCAAGAGACAUCGUGGCAAGGUGAAGAGCUUCCCCAAGGAUGACCCCAGCAAGCCCAUCCACCUGACUGCCUUCCUGGGCUACAAGGCUGGCAUGACUCACAUUGUCCGAGAGGUGGACAGACCUGGCUCCAAGGUGAACAAAAAAGAGGUGGUAGAGGCAGUUACAGUGGUGGAGACGCCUCCUAUGGUCAUUGUUGGAGUUGUGGGAUACGUUCAGACCCCAAGAGGUCUUCGCAGCUUCAAAACCGUAUUUGCUGAGCACAUCAGUGAUGAAUGCAAGAGGCGAUUCUACAAGAACUGGUACAAGUCCAAGAAGAAGGCCUUCACAAAGUACUGCAAGAAGUGGCAGGAUGAUGAGGGCAAGAAGCAACUUGAGAAGGACUUUGGCAGCAUGAAGAAAUACUGCCAGGUCAUCCGUAUUAUCGCCCACACUCAGAUGCGUCUGUUGCCCCUGCGCCAGAAGAAAUCGCACCUCAUGGAGAUCCAGGUGAACGGAGGCACUAUUGCAGAGAAGGUUGACUGGGCCCGAGAGAAGUUAGAGCAACAGGUGCCCAUCUCUGGUGUGUUUGGCCAGGACGAGAUGAUCGAUGUUAUCGGUGUCACAAAGGGAAAAGGCUACAAAGGUGUCACUAGCCGUUGGCACACAAAGAAGCUGCCCCGUAAGACUCACAGGGGUCUGCGUAAGGUGGCUUGUAUUGGUGCCUGGCAUCCUGCCAGAGUGGCCUUCUCUGUUGCUCGUGCUGGUCAGAAGGGCUAUCAUCACCGCACUGAGAUCAACAAGAAGAUCUACAAGAUUGGCCAAGGAUAUCACACAAAGGAUGGCAAGCUGGUGAAAAGCAAUGCCUCCACUGACUAUGAUCUGUCAGACAAGAGCAUCAACCCCCUGGGUGGUUUUGUUCACUAUGGCGAGGUGACGAAUGACUUUAUCAUGUUAAAGGGCUGUGUUGUAGGGACCAAGAAGAGAGUUCUCACACUGCGCAAGUCCCUCCUUGUACAGACCAGCCGUCGUGCCCAGGAGAAGAUCGAUCUCAAAUUCAUUGAUACAACCUCAAAGUUUGGACACGGACGUUUCCAGACAGCAGAGGAAAAGAAAGCGUUUAUGGGACCACUCAAGAAAGACAGAUUGGCCAAAGAGGAGACUGCAUAAGGCUGUUUUGUUUGUGCCUGUCCAUCUGGGCUGUUGUGUUGCAGCUUUGAUACAAUAUUAAAAAAAAAAAAAUCUAAAAAAAAAAAAAAAAA